rnacentral:lncRNA from 1 species
GAUCAUGUAUUGCUUCAACACUUUCGGUUCAGACUUUCUGAGGAUGCUGGCCUGCAGCUCGAUGCCCUCUCCGAAAGCUCAUUUUGCUUAAGGAUUCGAUAGAAGGGAAGGAAAUCUUGGAUCAUAUCCGAGAGACUACUCCCUCGGUCGAUUGGCAUAGCAAUGCCCUGAUAGAAGGAGAGUGUAUUGAGCAACCGAGGUCUUUCAUUAGCAAAGUUUGAACUUUCAUCUCGACUAUCUUUGAACAUCUACUGACGAUGCCUCUCCUGAACCGUAGGAUUCUAGGGGAUAGAGCACGACGUGCGAAUCCUACCCCCGGAUCCCCUUACGGUAUUUUAUUCUGAAUUUUCCCUCCAAAUUAUAUCUCGAGGGAGGUUGAGGAAGGAGUGGUUGAAAGAAGAGGAUCAUUCUUAAUGACUCGUCUGUUUCAACCAUGACUUCUCGGAAGAGGUACCAUAGGAAGCCCAUCAUGUUCCCGUGUCAAGGUAACAUACAAGGUGUUUCGUAUACACUAAGGAAUAUGCCUCAACAUUGACCACCAUAUCAUAGUCCAUAGAGCUUAUCCUUUUAGGUCAAGGGUUCAUAGGGG